rnacentral:lncRNA from 1 species
AAGGUUAGUAAUCUCGUUCAUUUGGUUCGGUUUCUAGGAUUGGUUAUUGUAGUAUGGAAUGUUUCAUUUUUUAUUGUUGUUUAAGUCUCUUAUUUAAAUGGGCAAUGAAACAUGACUUGUCGUAUUUUGGUUAGAAAUCAGUUUGCAAUAGGUUUAAAGAGGUUCUUAGGUUAGAAAAUUAACUGCGAACUCGAUUAGUUGAACAUGUGAUUGAUAUUUAAAGUUUCGCUUCAGUUUUGUGUUAGAAUUCUCCUUAGUUUCUGUCCAAAAUCGUUGUUUCUUAUUGUGAUAUAUCCCAAAAAAAUAAAAUUUCUUUUACCAUAGCGACUAAAUGA